AAUGGGGCUCCAGGAGCUCACCAGGAUGGUUAGAAUGUCACUUAACAAGAUUUUCUCAAGAUGGCCACUCAACAUCUCCAGUGCUAACACUGACUGAAAUACUCAUAUGAAUAUGUGCAAGACUUUCACUUCUGGGAAUAAAGUUGCUGUAAGGCCUGAAGGAAACAUUUUGGUCAUCUAAUCUGACCUGCACUAUAACACAGACCACUGGGCUUCUUUGAACUGCAGCAUCUCUUUUUGAAAAAUAUCCUAUCUUGACGUAAAAAUUGCCAGUGAACCCAC